UUCAAUGUAUACAAAUGUACUAGCACAAGAAGUUAAAAUUAAAUUAUUCCCAUAAUUAAGAUAAAUUAUAUUUAAUCUUGUGUUACAAUCAUUCUUGAUAGUUUGUCCAAUUUCAUCAUUAGAUUGUGAACUUAAACUUUAUACUAACAAGAACCGAUGAUUUAAUCUUCAGCGUAUAAGCUAAACUUUAUACACUAAAUAAUCUACUAUAUAAGCUAAGGACACAGACUAAUAUAUGAUCUAUUGAAACUUUAUUAAAAUUAAAUGAACAAUAUUGUCAUAAUAAAUACAAUAUCUAAACCACAUCCCCCAACACAAACAACAGAAGCAAAUAGCUAAUAUUAUUUAACAUAACACAAAUUUUAAUUAUCAUCACUAUAGCAAAAAGCAUACCUAGGAGUAGUUCCUAUACCAACAGAUACUUUAUCAUCUCGAGCACCAAUUUGUGUUGAGAAUAAACCCCCUACCAAAAUAAUAUUCACGGUAAUAAAAGCAGAAUAAUAAUGUAACACCGAGAUACGGUAAUUAACAAGAAUAAAAGAGUAACAAUGACACCAAGAUUUUUACUGGAAAACCCUUCUGAAUAAGGGAAAAAACCACGGCCCUGAGAGGAGCAACUAAUAUCACCAUAGUAAGGAAUUUUUACACUUUGUAGUUCCGAGUAAAAUACUCCAAAGACCACUACAAUACUCAAAAGAAAUAGCCCUCUUUUGAUAUUCCCACCUUACUACAAGAUCAUUCACUCUCUAUUUUUCUCACAGACUAUUUUCUUAUACCUUGCCUGUGAAACCUCACUCUUUCUUUUUCUCUUUGUUGGUGUAAAAAAUGAGAGCUUUGGCUCAGAAUACAUCCUACCUUUCUUGACAUUUUAUCGCUGCAGCAUGCCAAAGUUGACAGACUGCAGCACACCAAAGAAAGGUAAAAACACAUGGGAUGUUGUUGCCUAUAUUGAAAAUGAAGAAGCAAUGAAGAAGUUUUCACCCUUAAUAAGUGGGAUGGACCCCACAAAUCUCCCCCUCCAGUCCCAUUUAUCUAGAGGGUAUACACCGCAGUUUCUAGUUUGAGUGUAUGUAGACAAGUUCUUUGGAUAGCUCAAACUUGUCUCUUGAUAUCACUUUGGUCAGCAUAUCCGCAUGAUUUUCGCUUGUGUGAAUCUUUUUGACAUGUAAAGAUUCGUCCGCCCCUUUCUGACGAAUCCAGUGAUAUCUCACAUCUAUGUGUUUGGUCCUUGCAUGGUACAUAGAGUUCCCGCUAAGGUCUAUUGCAUUUUGGCUAUCACAAUAGACGAUAUACUCCUUUUGGUGCAAUCCAAGCUCUCGAAGGAACCGUUUGAGCCAUAUAAUCUCCUUGCCAGUUUCGUGCUAAGGUCUAUUGCACUUUGACUGUCAUAAUAGACAACAUACUCCUUCUAAUGCAAUCCAAGCUCUUGAAGGAACCGUUUGAGCCAUACCAACUCUUUG
rnacentral:lncRNA from 1 species